UGACAGACUGCUGCCACACCGGCUGGCUUGGUUGCUCUGAAUUGCAGGAAGCAGAGCUUCUUGGGAGAAAAUAAUGUCACUAGGAACUCAAUUUGACUCGGUUGAUUCUACACUUGCGGUCCUGAGAGCCGGAAGAGAUGCUGUGGAAAGAAGUAUGUUUAUGACUUUCCUUAUUAAUGAUGUCUACAGUUUUCAGUCCAUAACUUGACAUGUCUAGAUUCUUUUCUUACCACAUAGGUCACAAUAUUUUCUUUAAAGCAGCUGGGGAUAGCAGGAUAAGCCUCCAAUAUCCAAGAGCAAUGAUGUUGUAUUAUGGGGAUUGGAGCAUUGGCUUGGACAUUAAGUUCUCUUGAUGUCAGAACAAGGGCCAAAGGACACUGUGAGUCUCAAAUGACCAGCAACCCCAGCUCUAGGAUUCCACCCCCACCUCUUCUACAGGUAAACACACUCAUUAGUGUGUUAACUCACAGGCACAUGUGCUCACACACACAUGGACUAAC